AAGUCGUAACAAGGUUUCCGUAGGUGAACCUGCGGAAGGAUCAUUAAUGAUUAACUGUCUGUCGAGCUUGCUCACAGACUUAUCAUAUCCAUAACACCUGUGCACUUGUCGGAUGGCUUAGUGAAGACCGCAAGGUUGGAACUAUCCAUCUACUUUACAUAACAAUUUAGUAACAAAUGUAGUCUUAUUAUAACAUAAUAAAACUUUCAACAACGGAUCUCUUGGCUCUCGCAUCGAUGAAGAACGCAGCGAAAUGCGAUAAGUAAUGUGAAUUGCAGAAUUCAGUGAAUCAUCGAAUCUUUGAACGCACCUUGCGCUCCCUGGUAUUCCGGGGAGCAUGCCUGUUUGAGUGUCAUGAAAACCCUCAACCUUAGAUUGGUUAACACCUUUCUUUGGCUUGGAUUUGGACGUUUGCCGAUGAUAAGUCGGCUCGUCUUAAAAGUAAUAGCUGGAUCUGUCUCGCGACAUGGUUUGACUUGGCGUAAUAAGUAUUUCGCUAAGGACAUCUUCGGAUGGCCGCGUUGCAAGACUAAAGACCGCUUUCUAAUCCAUUGAUCUUCGGAUUAAUAUUCUUGACAUCUGGCCUCAAAUCAGGUAGGACUACCCGCUGAACUUAA
rnacentral:rRNA from 1 species